rnacentral:rRNA from 1 species
AAAGCGUGAUCCAGCAAUACGGGGUGUGCGAAGAAGGCCUUAGGGUGGUAAAGCAAUUUCAACUUGGAGGAAAACAUACUGGUCAAUACCGGGUAGUAUGACAUUACCUUUAGAAGAAGCCCCGGCUAACUUCGUGCCAGCAGCCGCGGUAAUACGGAGGGUGCAAGCGUUAAUUGGAAUUACUGGGCGUAAAGCGUGCGUAGGCGGUUUGUUAAGUCAGAUGUGAAAGCCCCGGGCUCAACCUGGGAACUGCAUUUGAAACUGGCGAACUAGAGUUUAGUAGAGGGGAGUGGAAUUUCAGGUGUAGCGGUGAAAUGUGUAGAUAUUUGAAGGAACACCAGUGGCGAAGGCGACUCCCUGGACUAAAACUGACGCUGAGGUACGAAAGGGUGGGUAGCAAACAGGAUUAGAUACCCUGGUAGUUCACGCCGUAAACGAUGUCAACUAGCCGUUGGUCCUAUAUGUAGGUAUUAGUGGCGCAGCUAACGCAUAAGU